rnacentral:rRNA from 1 species
GAUGAACGCUGGCGGCGUGCUUAACACAUGCAAGUCGAACGAUGAAGCCCAGCUUGCUGGGUGGAUUAGUGGCGAACGGGUGAGUAACACGUGAGUAACCUGCCCUUAACUCUGGGAUAAGCCUGGGAAACUGGGUCUAAUACCGGAUAGGAGCGCCUACCGCAUGGUGGGUGUUGGAAAGAUUUAUCGGUUUUGGAUGGACUCGCGGCCUAUCAGCUUGUUGGUGAGGUAAUGGCUCACCAAGGCGACGACGGGUAGCCGGCCUGAGAGGGUGUCCGGCCACACUGGGACUGAGACACGGCCCAGACUCCUACGGGAGGCAGCAGUGGGGAAUAUUGCACAAUGGGCGAAAGCCUGAUGCAGCGACGCCGCGUGAGGGAUGACGGCCUUCGGGUUGUAAACCUCUUUCAGUAGGGAAGAAGCGAAAGUGACGGUACCUGCAGAAGAAGCACCGGCUAACUACGUG